rfam:Schistosoma haematobium scaffold1114_4, whole genome shotgun sequence.
AUCCAUCUGACAAGUCCCAAAUAGGACGGAACGCGAGUUCUGGAU